UUUCCGUAGGUGAACCUGCGGAAGGAUCAUUAUUGUAUAACCGAGAUGCGAGGGCUGUCGCUGACCCGAAAGGUCGUGCACGCCCGAGUGCCCUCACACACAUCCAUCUCACCCCCAUGUGCACCACCGCGUGGGUCCCCCUUUGGCUUGUUCGGAGGGGGGCUUACGUUUUCACACAAACUUUGUAUGCAGUGUAGAAUGUAUUUUUUGUUUUUGCGAUCACGCAAUCAAUACAACUUUCAACAACGGAUCUCUUGGCUCUU
rnacentral:misc_RNA from 1 species